GCUUGGAUUAUACCAACACGUUCGUUAUUCGGACUUUUUAUUAUUACGUCUGCAGUGCACGAUUUCCGGUCAGGAUUUUUUACCCACAAUGCCACUCGGUAUUAAUUUGCCUCAUACCCGACAGCAUUCGUUAUGCUUCGGUAUAUGCCCAACACGUGGAUGCCGUUGUGUUGGUCAAGGGGGUUGCUGUUUGCUGGCGUUGAUGUUUCCCAAGCCUUCUGAAAGUUGCUCAAGAUUGGUUUUGUCGGUUACCGUCUCGAAGAGGCAGGACCUGCAGGGCCUUCCCUGACUGUGUCCACGCUGGUCCAAAAAGAAGAGGCUUCUGGACUUCUGCAACUUCAAUUUCAACCUUGCACAAGGCGAUAAGCUUCUCCCUCCUUUUCAAGAGCCAAAAUUUUGAUGGCGCAUUUCAUCGGAAGUCGGCCAAAACCUUCGAUCCACUCAACUGUUGAGUUGCCCCAAUCGGGAUCAAUUUAAUUUGUUACCAGCCAGUGCAAAUCCUUUGCGGCAUAAAAUGAUCAAAUGCGCCAGUUUGAGAUAUGCGACAUUCUGGUCUUUCUUCUCCCUUCUGGAAAGCUGGAUCUGCUCCCGAAUCAUUGUGGCAUGCUCCGCACAGCCUGGGAAACCUGCGAUUCCAGCUUUCUUGCAGCUGGUGUCGAUAUGUCUGUUCUCCAUCAGGAAAAAAAAUAAACAAAUUUAAAGAGGGAAGCAAAAAAAAAUAAACAAUUGAGAUAAUGUGGUUGCUCAAGUGCGCACACUUGCCUCAUCAAUGGUGAUGUGGUUGUGUGCAGAAUGAACCAGUCACAUUCUGACUCAUGUUUUAUGGGGGUCGUCACACAACAGCCAACAUUUAAAAUGCAUCUGAUUCAUCCGAAGUAAAGGUCAGAUGUUCAAGUAGGUUUUUUUCAGACAUUUUCAGUCACAUUUUACUGCAGAGGUCUGAAGUGACCUUCCGCGGCUUCAGAAGGAGCUCACUGAUCGAAUGUAUCAGUCAGGAGAAGCAUACAAAAGGAUUUCCAAAAGAUUUUUUUUUUCCGCCAAAUUGACAGUUGAAGGUCACUUUAAACGUAAACGUUUUGAAAUGAUUUGCUGUGUUGUACAGUAACCUGGAAUUUGAACAGGGGUGUGUAGACGUUGAUAUUUACAGGAACAAUACUUGCAUAAAUGAAAGAACAAAAUCAAGGAAGUUUUUCGAAAAUGUGACUUGUCAAAGACUUGUUGAGCCAGUCAUGUGACCUGCCUCACUGAACCUCAUGUAUACAUUGAUAUAAAGACAUUCUCCGGUUGACUGGG